rnacentral:misc_RNA from 1 species
CUCAUUGCUGGGGAGGGUGACGCUGGUCCCGACAGAGGGCACCGCUGAUGCGGGUCUUCACUCCCGGCGAUAUUUUGGUGCCGCACCUGAGACACCGCCGCAGCCGCCGCCGUCGUGUCCUCCUGCCGUCAAACACCACUCUCAGAUACGGUGAGCGCGUCAGGCCCUCAACCCAAGGAGUUCUUCCACCACCAGUGGUCAGGGGGUGGGCGGGGGCAGCGAUUAUGGGGGGUGGGGCUAGUGGAGGCCACGCCCACCUGCAGGUAGGCGCGGAGGAACCCCCCACGCCCACUCACGCCCACAGAAUGCACGACAAUAAAGUAUAGGUGAACCGUGCAAGAGAUCUUCCAGCUGAUUAGCGAUGUCUUCUGAACGGAAGUCAGCACGGAGUGGUGUGCGGGAGGGGGCAGGCAACUCUGUGCCCCAGCAUUACCCUGCACAUUUCUACCCAAUGGUGGGCUACCAGGGGCCCCCACAGCCAUGGUUCCCCGCUUCUGGAACCCCCAACCCGUGGUCCUGGAACCCCCCCAUAGGCUACCCGGCGCCCACCCCGGCCUGGUCCACCCACCAGCCUGCCUCCACCAUGACUACAACCAACAGCACGGCGGCUGUUCCCUCCGACGAGUACACCGUCGACACCUUGAGACGGAUUUACAACGACGACGACGGGCGAGUAGAGAUCCAGAGAGUAAAGGUCCAGCGACGCCACCCGGAGACAGGAACCAUCACUUUCCCUACGGGUCCUGAAGCUAUGAGUGUGGUCCCCGUCGGCAGUUUCGCUCUCAAUGAACGACGACCACCGCCAAGAAAAAACCGACGGAAACAGCAGAUGGAAGUCAUGGCAGUAACACCCGGACAGCCGGGACCCUACCCAUGGUACCCGUACAUGCCUUGCGUGCCCUACCCGUACCCAUAUCCGUAUUAUAUGAGCGGGUGUAUGUGGCCUCCGGGUGUGCCUGCCGCGUCGACGACUUCUUGGAGUGGGCAUGAGGAGAGUGAAAGAACGUCUUCCCGGCAGGACUCGCUCCCCACCACAUUGGACUCUCAACGCCUCGAGUCUCGCAUCUCUCACCCGUCCCGGGAAUCCAUCUCGCCUGUGUCACAUCGGUCCCCGUCCCCGGCUGCCGCCUCUCACCUCACAGAUAUCCACAGCAUCGCUCCCUCGGACAGCGUCUCGGUGCGUGGCCACAAAAGAGAAACAUCCUUGGAGCGAGCACUAAGGGGGCCCACACCUCCUCCCCGCACCAAGAGUCGAGCGUCCUCAGACUCCAGAGCAAGUGAUAUCGGGAAGACGCAGGAGUGGAUAUUAGGGAUGCAUAACGUACUGGGCGUCCCUGUCGACAGGAUCUCAGACGUCACAGACAAAUCGUCUUUCAUGACUGCUCCUUCAGACAUAGUUAUUUACAAAAAAAUACCUCCCAAGAGAAAACGUCGAAAAGUCAAGAUUGAGAGUAUAAGUGACAAAGAUUCUCUUGCUGAUCCGAAAGAACUGGAUAAUACAAGUGAUAGACAAAGUGUUGUGUCUGACAUGACGUUUGAUGAAUCUUCAAGAUUAAGUUCAGAAUUGACUUAUGCGUUCCGGAAAUUAGAAAAAUCAGUAGACGUUUUCAAGACAAAAUUGUCAGUAGAUUCUACACCAGUGCACAGCUCUGCCCCUUCUCCAUCGAUAGACAUUAUUCAUUCCAGUGGUGACGUGACACCAACAGAGGAAGUCAUGCAUGUGUCGCCUUCUGACAUCAACAUACUCGUGGAAGAGUCUGAUAAACAAGAAGCUAACCAGCAUGAUACUUCAGCCUCCUUGGAACGUGGAUUUUCCCCGGGAUCUGUCUGCUCUCUUCCUGCUCUUGAAACUGCUAAGGCAGACUCGACAGUAGAUAUAUCUGCUCUGCGAGCGUUGAUGGAAACCCCAGUCAUUAAACCUUCACCUCUACCACCUCAGAAUCAUCAGGACCCUCCUGUUUCUCAGUCCAGUUCUAUCACUGCAUUUAUGCCAGAAACUGGUCCUCCUCCUUCCACGUCGAGUAUAAAUGCCUCGACGGUACCAACAGCAACAAGCACCACUGAGGUCACUCUUGCUGGUUCUGAACCAGGGAGUGCCACAGUAACCUUGCAGACAACAACAGCACCAACUGAUGUAACAUCAAACGUUGCACGACCAUCAGAGGUCACCCUCUCACCUUCAUCCACAACGGAAGUAACCAUACAAUCUGCAUUAAAGUCAGAAGCAACAACUCUGCAGCCUGUGCAGGUCCUGUUAUUCACUCAACCUAUAACAGUGACAUCGCCUUUGCCUAGCCAGCCUUCAGCGGUGUCAGAUUCUAGUAGUCCUCCUGUCGCCGUGGCAGAAACAGCUCUACCAGCAGCAACCGCUCCUGCAGCGAAGGGCGAAACAGUCAGCGAAGGUGGACGUGACUCGAGGGCCAGCGGCAGCACUUUCUUCUCGACGCGGCCUUCUGAGGACCCGGUGCUUGUGGACACGGACUCCACAGACAUCCUGCUGCCCACCACAGAUGCCACCACCGCAGAUGAGGGCGAAGAUCACAUGGACUCUACAGGAGUGAGUCCUGGACUUGACGACGAAGGGGACUAUAAGUGGGUGCUGCAGCAGCCUGGAGAGACGCCGGACCUGGCCUCCACCAAUCCAGCACGGGAGGACGAGCGACGCAACGCCUGGCGAGCCGAAGUUAGCCUGUGGCGCGCGCGGUUGGUGGUGUCGCUGUGUCGAGGACGUGGUCUGGACCGCCAAGACUGGUCCACCUUCCAUCUGUUGGUCCACCACCCCCUCACCCUCGACCUGAAGCUCUCCCUCCUGCACGCCCCCCGCCUCUGUGCCGCCAACACCUCGACGGGGGCGGCGCUGGUACGCGUGGCGCUCAUCCACCUGGCGCAGUACGGAGAGACGCUGCUACAGCCAGAGGGGUCCAGGCAACAUGGCUGGCGAUCCGUCAAGGUUGACCCCAACCAACCCUGGGCAUCCGUCAAGGGUGCCGUGGAGGUACUUCGGGCCCUCGGGUACCAGGAGCGGGAGGACGGCGGAGUGCUGAGGUAUCCACGCCGCUCGGGCAUCGAAGUAUCGGUGCUGGCGCGUCUCACACUCGAUAUGUUGGUGUUGGCCGAAGAGCUUCGCCUAUAUCUCACCGGAACCCAUCAGUAUCCGGUCAACAUUGCAGAAUUAUUCUUCCCUGCGUCAUCAUCCACGGCCCCGUUUGUUGAUAUCCCGGUGCGGCCACCUUCGUCAGAGGGCAGUUUUGUAUCAGCGCACUCAGAGACGUCUCUCCACCUCAGACCGAGCAGCAGAACGUCAUCUGUUACAGACGAUGACACAGAGACAUUGCAGGCAUCUGUCAGACUCAUCAAGAAUCACACAAAGAAAAUCCGGCGUAGUUCCACAUCGGAGGAAGAAGUGACCUUAAAAGAUGACGUUGAAAAUAAAAUUCAGAUCAAAGUACAGACUUCAGAGACCACGACGAGCGUACAAGAACACUCCAGAGAAGUUCCUCCGGUAAUAGCAGAAACGUCAUCCGGUAGUACAGAGCCACAAAAUCUGGGCUCCACAGUAUCCUUGCCCGUGGCUCAGGAUUACAGAUUAUCCACCAGCACAAAUAUGUCCAGUUUGCCGGACUUACAGUCUAUCCAUUCGAGCUCUACUUCUCAGAAGAGCCCACGCCAGAGUAGCUCUGCAACAUCUGGCAGCACCGAGACUGUCAUCACUCCUGUUCCGACUCCAGUACCUGUACCAGAAGCCACCACAGACAACCCAGAGGAACACAUAUAUGAAGAAAUCGACGUGAUACGAGCGCAAGUCCAGGCUCUCAGAGCUUCCAGUGUCCCCGUGGAAACUCCGCCACCUCCACUUCCCCCGAAAAAGAAAGUUAGUUCGGGGGGUGAGGAUGACUCUGGGUUAAGUUUAACAUAUCCUCAGGUGGAGUGGUCGUCUUCCUCCAUGCCCGGCUCGUUGCGUGGUGGGUCGACUGGCGCCAGGAGGAAGAAGCGCCGUGCCCCUAUGCCCCCAGAAUUUAUGCCCACGGAUUGGAAAAACUAUCAAAACAAAUCACCAGAUAGUCCCGAGCAGGAAACCGAGGCACAAGAAGCCAAAGAGAGGAAGAACAAAGCAGAGUACCGAAAAUCUCUCAAUCCGUUCUACGAAGACAUUGAAUCUGUAAAAGAAAAUGCGAAGGAGCGUAACAACACGUUAAAUAAAGAAACUGAAAUCAGUUCACUCAGUAAAGGCGUAGAAAGCAAUCCUUUCAUCGUAGACAAAGUUUCAGUAGCUGGAUUUGUUGGAAAGAAUCCUUUUUACGAAGACGUUGAGCUGCUGAAAGACACGAACGAAUUUAAAGAAUCUCUACCCUUUCCUAACCUUGACGGGGCGAUGUGUGCCAUGGGCUCGCUCUCAGAGCUCCAGGACAAUUCUACGGUCACACGGCCUAAGCGUCGAGCCCCCAAGCCACCUCCUACUCUACACACAGACACACAUUCCUCCACAACAGAGUCAUCAACUCACUCACAACCAACCAAACUUGUACCACCCAAGAGGCCACCCACCCCUAUAUUUCUCAAACAAACAUUACCAACAAUUGGAACUCAGGAUACAGAAAACAAAAAAGUUAUUGCCUCUGAAAACAUCCAACAAAUCCCAAGUGAAGCGGACAUGACUGAGAAACCUCACAACUCAUCUACUCAAGCUGUUGAGGCGUCAACCGAGGUUAGUGUCAAAGUACCGCCAACGGUUGGCGAUGAAGAGGCAAUCAGUGUUCCAAAGAAAUGUGAAGUCAUUACUGCUGUUAGCGCCAAUGAGGCAAGCCAACAUGUGUCUCUGGGUGUAGUGGGUAAAGUCAAAGCAGACUCUUUGACACUACCUUCUGAACAAAGUGACUUCGACAAAGUGACAGAGCAAACUUCUGAGCAAAGUUCUGAGCAACACGUAGAAAAUCAUCCUGUACAUCACGUUAAUAAAUGUGCCGAAGAACGCUCUAGCGAUAGCAUAUUGAGAGACUCAUCCAAUCCUCAUGUCUACAAAGACGACCUCCAAGCCAACAAGACGGAAGAAGCUAUACCCAGUGUCACUAAAGCAACCCAUCAAAGAGUCUCUCUCCAGCACCCAAAGAUUCCACCGCCACCGCCACCACCACCACCACCACCACCACCUAAGGUAGCAGGUUUUGGCGUGAGCACAGAAACACCCAAAGAGCCUACAAUAGAUCGGUCUUCACCACCACCACUGCUCCCACCUAAGGUUUCUCUGUCUCUCUUGGACGAUAUUCCUUACAUGGACGCUGGAGAAGUGAAAUAUGCCAAGACCAAACACACGCCCACAACCCCGCAGUCACCCCAGUAUGAAAUCCCAGAAGCUCCCACGCUCUCCCCGGCGACCAUGCGGCAGUCCUUACUAUUAAGAGGAGCAUGUAAUGUCCCGUUUAUAGAUGAGUCUGAUCUCCCUCCCGACAGUCCUCCUCCACCCCCACCUUGUCCUCCACCUGAGUCCCCACCGGAGACUUCGCACACCUCUCCACCAGAGACACCUCACACUUCUCCGCCAGAAACACCUCACACUUCCCCUCCUCACACGCCUCAUACAUCCCCACGAUCCUCACCCAUCACCAUCAAGCCAUCUACUGUCAUCACGCAGUCCGUCCACACUGCUGACGCUCGUAAAAUUGACAAUAGUAUAGAAGAUACUACAGAUAAAGCACCACCGAUGCCGCCUAAAACAUCCCAACUUGCUCCAUCGGCGCCGACAAAAGAUCCUCACUCAGCAUCACCUGUGACGCAGUUACCAGCGUCAACACAGCCGGUCGCUGUACAAUUUCCACCGUCCAUAUCCCCUGAGAUUUCCCAAUCCCCACCAUUACUGCCGCCCAAGACCACAGUUCAGGCAACGUUACUAGCGCCGUCAGAGACUUCGGCAUCAGUCACCCAUGAACUGGCUUCAAAGAAACACUCAAUACAGAGAUCGACAUCGGACGACAGAUACGAAAUCCCCGACACGUCCCGCGCCCCUCCCACACGACCACCUCCACCGACGGCGCAGAGCACGAAGGUACCCAAGCCUUACACCGCAGCUUCAGAAGUUGACAGGUACGAGGUUCCUGAAGCCCCCAAGGAAAAUAAGGUGCUAAAGAGAGCGGAAACCGAAGAGAGAUAUGAGAUCCCAGAGAUGGUGAAGGAGACGGCUCUGCCUACUGGACCUAACGGCAUGAGAAUCUGAGUAAUAGUGACUGGAUCAUCUUUGUAUUGUAUCCGAACCCCUGCUUCACCUACUCUUACUGCUGCUGCUGCUGCUGCCGUGUCCCGCGGGUUAGAUGUGAGAGUUAGUGUUAGUUAGGGAGCGAUAACUACUACUCGAGGACCAUUCUCAGCCGUGCAUAGUGGUGAUGGGGCGGACCAGUUCGACAAAGAGAA